GUUGACCUUACAGCAAUUCAUUCUCUACAUAAAAAGAAAACCCCCUGUCAACUG
rnacentral:other from 16 species